AUUCUCAUCCCGAAUUUCCUCCUUGCCAAAGAGAGGGAAGAUGGCUGUUGUAAGAAAGAUCUCGGUUCACACUGAUUAUUGGUGUUAUUUUUGAGCCUGGAAAAUUACCUCAACGCCCAAGCUAACGGCUAGCUGAAACCGUCAACAAGGACAUCCAGACACAAGAACAGCUUCUGACAUCAGGCGAUUGUCCACUAAUUGCCAAAUGGGACACUUCAUGGUCCUGUCACCAAGACAAAUUAGUGUUGUGUCAACAGACACUUGGCAAUAAGCAUAACAGCUGUUCCUGUUUGGCUCAGAGGAACAAACUGCAUGGGUUUCCUUGACAAAUCAAUGCUGCAGAAUGUGAUGGAAUAAUCAUGAUGGAACCGCAUUCACUACGGAUCAUCUGAACAUCCAGCUGACACAACUAUGAUACCACUUUACGGGACUUUUUAAAGCAUACAGCUUGGAUUCAAAAGUUAUUAAACAUUUAAAACAACAGAUAUUUUUAGCCACAGACGGCAGUUUUGGUCUUUGAGGGUUAAUGGAUGCCUUCAGUGUCACAAACAAACUUCCCUGAUCACCUGGACUGUGAAGCAGAGAGAGGGGUAAUCAAAAGACUGACCAGUUCUGAAACAAGAUGAACUUGUACCAGGAUGAUGGAAAGAGAAGAGUAUGGAGAAGGAAAGGAAGGGCUCAUGAUCUAAAGCAUACCACAUCAUCUGUCAAACCUGGUGGAGGAAGUGUUAUGGCGUGGGGAUGUACGGCUGCCAGUGGAACUCUCUCACUGGUGUUUAUUGAUGAUGUGACUGCUGAUAGAAGGAGCAGGAUGGAUUCUGAAGUGUAUAGAGCUAUAGUUUCUGCUCAGAUUCAGUCAAAUGCUGCAAAACUGAUAGAUCAGCGCUUCACAGUACGGAUGGAUUAUGACCCAAAACAUACCGGGAAAGCAACCCAAGAGCUUCUUAAGGCAAAGAAAUUAAAUGUUCUUAAAUGUCUGAUGACCUCAACCUUACUUACUGAAGACAAAACUGAAGACAGAAAGACCCACAAGCAAGCAGCAACUGAAGGCCUGGUAAAGUAUCUCAAGGGAGGAAACUCAGUAUUUGGUGAUGUCCAUGGGUUCCAGACUUCAGGCAGUCAUUGACUGCAAAUGAUUUGCAUCUAAGUAUUAAAAAUAAUCCUAAUAUUUAUUAUUGUUCGUUUGUCCAAUUACUUUUGAGCCUGUGAAAAUGGAGGGGCUCUGUAAAAAAAAAAAUGGCUGUAAUUCCUAAUAUUUUUUGUUAAACCCCUUGAAUUAAAGCUGAAAGUCUACACUUCAAUCACAUUUUGUUUGUUUCAUUUCAAAUCCAUUGUAUGGUGUACGGAGUGUGGCGACUCAAGGCUGCGGCGGGAUGAACACAGACACGCAGGAGGCAGAUUAGGUGCAAAAAGAGUGAUGUUUUAUUUUGAAUCCAUGAGGGAAGAGGAAUGGUGCAGGUGUGAUGGCUCUGUCUGAAGGUGAAGUCGGGCGCUGUCUUCCC